UUGUUUUGGUUGAGGCAAUGCGUCGUUACGCGUCUGCGGUGUCCUUUAAGUGGAUCCUCAGCCAUCCGUAAUCGAUGAUUUCGUUUUCGGAUUGGACGAUCCGUCGAUCGUUGAUUUCGUUUUCGGAUUGGAUGAUCUGUUUCCGAUAGAGGCCUUCACAAUUUUGCCGGAUUAAGGCUAUUUGCGACAGAUUUUAUAUGUACUUUCGAAGCGGUAGGUGAGGCUGUGGUGUUUGUGUGGGUAUUAUCCUAAUGGAACCCCCGCGGAGUCUGUGAUGCAAUUUGUGAAGGUUGCUCUGGUUUUCCGAAAUGAUCUGAACAAGGGAUGUGUCCUGUUUGUUCUGGUUUAGUUGGCCUUCGUUACGUUCAAUUUUUAUUUGUUGCAUUUAUUUCCACCAGUUGGUUAUGUUUGUUUGUUUUUAUUUUUUGUGUGCAAGGGAAAGCGUCUGGAUAUGAUAUUUGAAAGAGAGAGUUGGAUUUAGACGGGUCUCAGGGAAGAGUUCCAUCAUCUUCUCAUUUAUUGAGGAUUUAAAUAGGGUAUAUGGAAGGUUAUUUUGUUUGCCUAUUUGGUUUAUUACAUCCAGUUGUAUUCUUGGCUGCUCUUUCCAGAUGAAAUUUUGAUUUUCUGUCCUGGUUUUCUACAAUUAGUUAUUUCGUUUGGUAGCAGGAUUUUAUUUUGGAGUUAAUACAUUUCUAAAUUGGGUUAAUUACAUCCUUUGGUGUUCUUGGCUGGUUGUAUUAGAGGAAGUCAGCUAAUUUUGUUGAAUAACUUGAAUUCUGUAGUCAUUGUUUCCAUUGGCAUCAUUGCUGUUCAUUUAUUGCCAAAAUGCAGUCCAACAGUGCAAAGUUGUAACAUUUGAAAGGUCAAAUUAUUUUCACCGACUUUUUGAUCCUUUGGCUUAUAAAAGUUCUCUGCAGCGUUUCUCUUCCUCUUAAUUAACUUCCUUAUCUCUUUUGAAUCUUGUUUCCUUUAUCUUGUGUGGAAGUUAGGACAUGGUAAUGAUUUUACGUACAUGUACUUGUGCUAUUAAGGUGUCUUUGUUGGUGAUCUUGGGUUAUGAUAAUUGUACUUCAUUGUUAUAUCGAUUUUUGAAUCAAUUCAAUAGCACAAUUGAUGGCUUAAAAAACAAGUGGGUUUUUAAGGUGCAUUGUUACUUUUUUCUUGUAUCAAGUUGGAGGGAGGUACAGGCAUGCUGUGUUCUCUUGUUUUUCCUUGAAAUUCAUUUUAUAUUGCUGAUUUUUAUUAGAAGUGGUAAGUUAACUUCUCAGGCUGAUGUACUUUUGGCUGCUCAUUUUAUGUGUUGUUUGUCUACUUGAAGCUUGUUUUGGGAGCUGGGUUUCACGUUAAGAAAGCUGGGUUUCUCUUCAUUAUGGAGCCUUCACAUUAUAAACAAAGGAGUCCAAUUUUCAUCAAGGAAUCUUCUUGAGGGGACCCAAUUACUAAUUGAAUAUAUUUCCUUUAUGAAGAUUCUGCAACCAUAGCUGAUACAAACAAGUUUUCAAGAUUGUUGUUUUUGGUUUGCAUGAUGAAGAGAAUAGAAGUUCUAACCUAUACUCUUGGUGAUGUGAACAAUGUAGUUGGAACAUCUACGGAAAGCCUAGCAUGAUUAAACAGAAAUUCAUGGGAAAGACUUUAUUGGCUUUUAACUGGUUUUCCCAGGAUUAACAUUAGAUUGAAAAGCUUGGAACUGACAUUUGAAUUGAUCCGCUAGUACCUGUUGCUGUUGCCCAUGAUGUUUGCAAGUUUUGGUUGGAUUUUGUUCUUUUCCUGUGUGUACAUGUUUUUACAUGGUUCAAAGAACUCUGGAAGGUUGUGUUUGGUUGAAAGGGGGCGGUGCAUUUGGAUUGAGAUUAGCAAAUUGAAAAGAUUGGAAAAUGACUUUUGAUUGAGAUUAGGGCAUUGAGAAGGUUGGAAAAUGAUUUUUUAGUUGA